rnacentral:siRNA from 1 species
GGAGCAACCUGCAAAGAUCACAAA